ACUUUGGGUAUGAUCCCCAGCAGAGGACCUGAAGGGAUGCCCUGACCAUGGGGCAGCAAAAUGGGGCUGUGUUGGUGAGCUGUGAGGCCAGACGUCAGAGCGUGAGCACCUCAGAAUGAACUGUCAUCCUCCAGCCAGCUCUAUUUUAGUUGAAGUUUGAUGUAGUACUGAGUUGCCGGGGAAAAUGGAGACAAUUUUGAAUCCACAACAGGCAUAAACGCUCAGCACUAGAAAUGUCACUGUGAGCACUUCAUCUACUUUUAA
ensembl:lncRNA